AUGUAGCCGUGGCCGACGUGGGUCAAAGUGUAAUAUCUGUUCUUAGUCUAAUAUCUCAUACGUUAUACGUGUUUAAUACGCAAGGUAUUAAACACAUUGUUGCAAGUUGUUGGAGUGCUUGAAGCCUACUUCACGUCCGCUGCGGGUCGGCCCGCUGAAGCACUAUCUUCGGCAUUGGCCCAGGGUUU